ensembl:lncRNA
AUGCUAUGUAUGCCAUUUAAUACAGUAUAAGGGACUUGAGUAUCUGUGGAUUUUGCUGUCCAGGGAGGGGUCCUGAACCCAGUUCCUUGCAGAUACUGAGGGACAGCUAUAUGUAUAUUUGAAAUUAAAAAAAAAAAAAGACUGUUAUUAUAAUCCCACUGUCCAAGUGUAACAAUGACUGAAACUUUGUUGUGUUUACUUUAGUCUCUGAUUAGUGGAAUUAUUAAUACCACAUCAAACAACUUUCCUUAUAAGUCAAACUUUCCCUGUAUAAUUGUGCUGUUUCCAGCUCUUGGCUCACAGUAAUGAUCUAUUAAUAGUUAGAAAGAAGCUAAUGUGAUUUCAUUGGUUUACUUCGUUUAAACAGAAUCCUCUGUGUUCAGGGGCAGGUAGCUUUAUUGGCAUGGCCCUUCAGGUCUGAGCGGUAUGUGCGUUGUUUAGAAAAAGCAGCUCCUGACCACACCCUAUUGAACUUCAGGGUUUCAAGAUAUGUCUUUCUUUUUUUCCCCAAGAACUUGACAUUUCCCCUCCCUCUGGUGCCCACAACUACGGAAGCAGCCUUGGCUGGCACAUGGCAUCUCUUCGGGACUCAAGAGUCACUACAGCUUCCAGGUAAGAUUUCAGGUCCUGAGGGUCCCUGCCUCCUGCAUUUUGGGAAGACAUUUUAAGUAACAAGAGAGCAACUAACAAACUACUUGCUGUCAGAUGGUAGUUGUUAUAUAUACAGACAGCCUGAAUCUCAGCUUGCCUUCACUUGUGAAGCCUGCCUCUGAGCCCCAGCCCCAAAUACAUACAGAUAUGUCAUCUGAUUGCCUUGUUACUUAAAUUUGUUAACUUUUGAGAGCAAUAUCAUGGAGACUCAGAAAAGGAAGAUUCUGGGAUUGUUAAACUAGCUAAAAGUUUUUACCAGUUCUCAAAUGAUUUCUGAAAUGAUCACAUUUGGAGACAUAUUACAUGCAACUUUUCUACCUCUUAGAGCAUGAAAUGACCAUUCCAAAUGGUAAUUAAUGGUGCCAGGAAGUGAAUCCUAUUCUUGCUAGGUGCAAACCCCUUAAGACUUCAUCUGCUUCAAAGUAAUUGACCUGGACUUCUUUAUUUACCUAAGUUAAUGGUUCUUUCCAGUGUCCCAGUGUUCACGGGAUAUGUAGUAGGCAUUUUCUUUUUUUUAAUAAGGAGAAAAAAAUAUUGAGAAAGCAUAACUAGAGUUUGUUCUGAGUCUGUUCCUUUUUUUUUUCUAUCACAAUUCUAUCAAUUCUCUCGCCAAUAUUUUCUGAUUUCUUUCUUAGUUCCAAAGAUUUUCUUCUAAUUUAUUCCACCCUCAAAUUCCGCCAAGUAACAAUGUCCCAUUCUCUUCCCAGAGUCUUUCCAGUCAACUUCUAACUUUGCUUCCUCCUCAUUUCUUUCAUCCCAUGACUUCUACCCUUUCCCAUAAUCAUAACUGGGUGGGCUUCCGCCAUCCAUGGAGUAGUGUGACUCAGUGGGAGAUCUGAUACAUUCCCCAAUCCUUACAGUUUUCAGUAACCAAAUUCUGUUUGCAGGUGGCCCAACAUCCUCUUUACUUUUGAAUGUUUUUUCCCAAUCCCUUGACAUGAUGGAAAUUUCCUCAGCUCGCUGAGAGAGGUACUGCUGUGUCAUAAUAUUCAAAGUUCUUUCACAUCUCCAAUCUGUUGUCCUUCUUAAUACCUUUUCCCGACCUUAACUCUGUUCUGACUUGUUUUCAUUCUACAUACCUGGUGUUUUCCUACCCCUUGCUGGAGAAGGCAUCACAGUAAAGCUAUCUAGAUGGUCAGCCACCAGAAGCACACAAGGAUUUCACAAGACCAUGAUCCUAGGCCUGACUGGAGAGUAAGGACAUCCUACAGUUGCACAUAAACAUGUUCCCAUUUUCCUUUACACAAGUUUGUGUCAGUUACUGGGCUUCCCUGUGGCUCAGCUGGUAAAGAAUCCACCUGCAACGCGGGAGACCUGGAUUUGAUCCCUGGGUUGGGAAAAUCCCCUGAAGAAGGGAACGGCUACCCACUCCAGUAUUCUGGCCUGGAGAAUUCCGUGGACUAUAUUCCAUGGGGUCACAAAGAGUCAGACACGGCUGAGCAUGUGUGUGUGUGUGUGUGUGUCAGUUACUAGUAGAACAUUUUUUCAAAUUUUUACAUAAUUGAAUUGUAUUUUGGGUUACUUCAUCUUCAGAAUUCAUUUAAUUGGCUUUUCCCCAGGUUUUUAGUUAGAACUAAACAAAAGCUAUUGUAGACUAGAAAAUCUAUCAUGAUUUCAUUGCAAGUUGGUUUCACAAGCUGCAUGCUUGAAAAUACAGGCAUUCCCCGGUGGCUCAGACAGUGAAGAGUCUGCCUGUGAUUCGGGAGAUGUGGGUUUGAUCCCUGGGUCAGGAAGAGUCCCUGGAGAAGGAAAUGGCAACCCACUCCUGUAUUCUUGCCUGGAAAAUCCCAUGGAUGGAGGAGCCUGGCCGACUACAGUCCAUGGGUCACAAAGAGUCGGACACGACUGACUUCACUUUCACUUUCAUACUUGAAAAUGAGCACCAUUAGCUGAGUUUAAAUACAAUAGAACUAUCAGAGAGCUUGACCCACUGGGCACACAGGAAAAGGUGUUUAUUUAAGCAAGCUUCCAAAAAUCAAUAAGUAGAUGACAUAUUUGAUGUGGCAGUUGAUAAAUAACACAGAUAAAAUGAAAAGGGUUAGUUAUCCAUGGUGAUGACUAAUGAUAAAAUAAUGAUAAAACAUCGAUUGCUUAAAUAUUUCUGUGUGUGGGCGGAAAAAAUGACAAGGCAGACAGAGCCUUUUGUGACGAAUGUUCCAGCUGGUGAGACUGCCAGGUGGUUUUUGAGUCUCUGCUGAAAACUUUUUUGAACGCUGGCUGUCUCAGAGGAAGUCAGCUCUGC